AUGACUACAGUUUUAUAUUUGUAUUGUUGUUUAUAUUUUCGUAUGUAAGUAAUGGACAUGACCUUGAGAUAAAACCUGCUGGAUUGAUUGGAAUAAUUUGUCAAGGAAUAUCCUUAGAAAACUGGUAUAAUUAUGCAAAAUCAACAUAAUCUUUGAAACAUCAUGGUACCAACACAUAUAUAUAAAUGCAAGAAUAUAGAUA